rnacentral:tRNA from 1 species
GGAAAAAUUUCCAUAGGUAAGGUAAAAUACUUGCUACGUAUUUGGAUGAAAGUCCUUGAGGGUUCGACUCCCUCUUUUUCCAC